UUCCAUGUGGUGUAGAGAAUUAGCAUUCCGGUCAUGGACUCUCAUUUGUGAGAGUCCCCGGCGACCCGGGUUCGAUCCCCGGCAUGGAAA